rnacentral:rRNA from 1 species
UUAAGCAAAAAAGAGCGCAGGGUGGAUGCCUUGGCACUAAGAGCCGAAGAAAGACGUGAUAAGCUGCGAAAAGCUGCGGGGAGAUGCAAAUAAUCCUUGAUCCGCAGAUGUCUGAAUGGGGAAACCCGGUACGAAGAACUCGUAUCAUCCAUACGCCAAUCCAUAACGUAUGGAGGGGAACCCGGUGAACUGAAACAUCUAAGUAGCCGGAGGAAGAGAAAGAAACAUCGAUUUUGUUAGUAGCGGCGAGCGAAAGCGAAAGAGGCCAAACCGGAGUGCGUGCACUCCGGGGUUCGGACCGCAUUUAAGAUUCAGUGAUUCUAGCAGAAAGGUUUGGGAAAGCCUGCCGGAGAGGGUGAAAGCCCCGUAAGCGAAAGGAGAGCUGACUGAGCGGAAUCCAGAGUACAUCGAGACACGAGAAACCUUGAUGGAAUGAGCGGGGACCACCCCGUAAGCCUAAAUACUACUUAGUGACCGAUAGCGCAUAGUACUGUGAAGGAAAGGUGAAAAGGACCCCGGGAGGGGAGUGAAAGAGAACCUGAAACCCUGUGUUUACAAGCUGUGGAAGUUCUUUAAAUGAACAACCGCGUACUUUUUGUAGAACGGUCCGGCGAGUUGCGGAUACUGGCAAGGUUAAGCACUUAAGGUGCGGAGCCGAAGGGAUACCAAGUCUUAACAGGGCGUUAAGUCAGUAUACGCAGACCCGAAACCGGGUGAUCUAUCCAUGUCCAGGUUGAAGUUGUCGUAAAAGACAAUGGAGGACCGAAGCCACAUCCGUUGAAAAGGGUGGGCAUGAGGUGUGGAUAGGGGAGAAAUUCCAAUCGAACCCGGAGAUAGCUGGUUCUCCUCGAAAUAGCUUUAGGGCUAGCCUCGAUUUAGUCUUAUGGAGGUAGAGCACUGAAUUUCCGCGGGGGCGUCAAAGCUUACCAAAGAAUAUCAAACUCCGAAUGCCAUGUAGAUGAUGAUCGGGAGUCAGACUGCACGAGAUAAGUUGGGCAGUCAAAAGGGAAAGAGCCCAGACCACCGGCUAAGGUCCCAAAGUGCGUGUUAAGUGGAAAAGGAUGUGGGAAUUCGAAGACAACUAGGAUGUUGGCUCAGAAGCAGCCAUACAUUCAAAGAGUGCGUAACAGCUCACUAGUCGAGAGUUCCUGCGCCGAAAAUGUCCGGGGCUGAAACACGACACCGAAGCCGUGGACUCGCAAUGCGAGUGGUAGAGGAGCAUUCUUAAAACCGACGAAGCUGUACCGAAAGGAGCAGUGGAGGGAUAAGAAGAGAGAAUGCCGGAAUGAGUAGCGAGAGAAAGGUGGGAAUCCUUUCGGCCGAAUAUCUAAGGUUUCCAGAGUAAAGCUGAUCUGCUCUGGGUAAGUCGGGGCCUAAGCACAGGUCGCAAGACGUAAGCGAUGGAUAACAGGUUUAGAUUCCUGUACCACGCAUUAUCAGAACUGUAGGGACGCAUGUGGAAAGCACGGGCCGGGAAUGGAAAGACCGGUACAAGCGGGGUAGGUGUACAACAGGCAAAUCCGUUGUAUAAUCCGAAGACGUGAUGUGGAGCGAAAUAAAGUAGCAAAGCGUGUGAGCCAUGUGACGAGAAAAGCUGCUAUUGUGUAAUGCGUGCCCGUACCGUAAACCGACACAGGUGGAUGAGGAGAGAAUCCUAAGGCCGACGGAAGAAGCAUUGUUAAGGAAUUCGGCAAAAUGACCCCGUAACUUCGGGAGAAGGGGUGCCUGCGAGAGCAGGCCGCAGAGAAUAGGCUCAAGCAACUGUUUAGCAAAAACACAGGUCUAUGCGAAACCGAAAGGUGAAGUAUAUGGGCUGACGCCUGCCCGGUGCUGGAAGGUUAAGAGGAGAGGUUAGCGUAAGCGAAGCUUUGAAUUUAAGCCCCAGUAAACGGCGGCCGUAACUAUAACGGUCCUAAGGUAGCGAAAUUCCUUGUC